UUUUUUGAGAGUUUGAUCCUGGCUCAGGAUGAACGCUGGCGGCGUGGAUAAGGCAUGCAAGUCGGACGUCCCGCUUUUAGCGGGAAGUGGCGAACGAGUUAAUAACACGUAGGUAACGAACCCCAAAGACGAGGACAAUUCAUCGAAAGGUGGACUAAUCCUCGAUAGUUCCCCUACCUCAAAAGUGGUGGGGGAUAAAAGGAAGCUUUUGCAACCGCUCUGGGAUCGGCCUGCGGCCUAUCAGCUAGUUGGUAAGGUAAUGGCUUACCAAGGCUAUGACGGGUAGGCGGAGUGAGAGCUUGACCGCCAACGAUGGCACUGCGACACGGGCCAUACUCCUACGGGAGGCAGCAGUCGAGAAUAUUGGUCAAUGGGGGAAACCCUGAACCAGCGACGCCGCGUGCUUGAAGAAGCCCUUCGGGGUGUAAAGAGCUUUUCUGGGGGGAGAAUCCCGCUAAAGCGGGAUGACGGUACCCCAGGAAUAAGGGGAUGCUAAUCACGUGCCAGCAGCCGCGGUAAAACGUGAUCCCCAAGCGUUAUCCGGAUUUAUUGGGCGUAAAGCGUCUGUAGGCGGUUUGGUAACUCUGAUGUUAAAGACUUCGGGCUUAACCUGAAGGAAGCAUCAGAAAAUGCCAGACUAGAGGGCGUUAGAGGCUGAUGGAACGGUCGGUGUAGGGGUGAAAUCCGUUGAUAUCGACCGGAACACCAAAAGCGAAGGCAUUCAGCUGGGACGGCCCUGACGCUGAGAGACGAAAGCGUGGGUAGCGAAAAGGAUUAGAUACCCUUGUAGUCCAUGCUGUAAACGAUGGACACUGGCUAUUGCAAGUGUCGACCCUUGCAGUGGCGAAGCUAACGCGUUAAGUGUCCCGCCUGGGAAGUACGGCCGCAAGGCUAAAACUCAAAGGAAUAGACGGGGUCCAGGAUUUCCACACGGACUCUGGCACAGGUGCUGCAUGGUUGUCGUCAGCUCGUAUCGUGAGACGUUCGCUUAAGUGCGGUAACGAGCGCAACCCUUACCCUAUGUUUGAUCUGUCAUAGGGAACUGCCCGAGAUGAUUGGGAGGAAGGUGAGGAUGACGCCAAAUCAGCAUGGCCCUUUGAUGCCCUGGGCUGCACACGUGGUACAAUGGCCGCUACAAUGGGUUGCGAAACCGUAAGGUGGAGCUAAUCCCAUCAAAAGCGGUCUCAGUUCGGAUUGAGGUCUGCAACCCGACCUCAUGAAGCCGGAAUCGCUAGUAAUCGCCAAUCAGCCACGUGGCGAUGAAUACGUUCCUGAGGCUUGUACUCACCGCCCGUCACGUUAAGCAAGCUGGGAAUACCCAAAAUCUCGUCGCAAGGGGGACUAAGGUGGGCUCAGUAAGAGGAACGAAGUCGUAACAAGGCACGGGUAGGGGAACCUGUCCGUGGAUAACCUCAUUU
rfam:Parcubacteria bacterium DG_74_3, whole genome shotgun sequence.